GAUGAAGAACGUAGCGAAAUGCGAUACGUAAUGUGAAUUGCAGAAUUCAGUGGAUCAUCGAAUCUUUGAACGCAUAUUGCGCUCUCUGGUAUUCCGGAGAGCAUGCUUGUUUGAGUAUCAGUAAACACCUCAACUUCCAUAUCUUUUUUGAAAUGGGAGUUGGACUUGAGUGAUCCCAACGCUUUUCCUCACCGAAAAGUGGCGGGUUACUUGAAAUGCAGGUGCAGCUGGACUUUUCUCUGAGCUAUAAGCAUAUCUAUUUAGUCUGCCUAAAAAACAGAUUAUUACCUUUGCUGCAGCUAACAUAAAGGAGAUUAGUUCUUGUGCUGACUGAUGCAGGAUUCACAAAGACAGCUUCGGCCGACUUUGUAAACUCGAUCUCAAAUCAAGUAAGACUACCCGCUGAACUUAAGCAUAUCAAUAAGCGGAGGA
rnacentral:misc_RNA from 1 species